rnacentral:rRNA from 1 species
CCAUGCCGCGUGUGUGAAGAAGGUCUUCGGAUUGUAAAGCACUUUAAGUUGGGAGGAAGGGCAGUAAGCUAAUACCUUGCUGUUUUGACGUUACCGACAGAAUAAGCACCGGCUAACUCUGUGCCAGCAGCCGCGGUAAUACAGAGGGUGCAAGCGUUAAUCGGAAUUACUGGGCGUAAAGCGCGCGUAGGUGGUUCGUUAAGUUGGAUGUGAAAGCCCCGGGCUCAACCUGGGAACUGCAUCCAAAACUGGCGAGCUAGAGUAUGGUAGAGGGUGGUGGAAUUUCCUGUGUAGCGGUGAAAUGCGUAGAUAUAGGAAGGAACACCAGUGGCGAAGGCGACCACCUGGACUGAUACUGACACUGAGGUGCGAAAGCGUGGGGAGCAAACAGGAU